rnacentral:lncRNA from 1 species
GUGAGUCAAUCUGUCAGCACAAGUACAAGAUUGGUUUGCCAUGGCUCUUUGAAACAGUUACUCUUGUCCUCAUUGUAGAGAUGGCGAUACUAAGGCAGAAUAUGGCUAGCCUGGACUUCUUUUUGUGGAGACUGGAUUCCAAGAUUGAAAGUAGAAGCUACAUGUUUUCUCCAAGCAGGGCUUUCAGACUUCACUUCUGCAACAUUUUAUUGAUGAAAGCAAGUCACAAGACCAGACUGAUUCAAGGGGUGGAGAAAUAGACCCUACUUCUUGAUGGAGGGAGGAGUAGAGUUACAUUGCAAAGGGAUCUGGACAAAAAAAGGAGUGAUUUAUUAGGAAUCAUGUUUAACAAUUUACCACAAUCCCCAGCGCAACUGCCUGUUAGCUGGAUCCAGAAAUGUCUACGACUACUGCAAUGCCACUUGGCCUUAGGGGUGAUGUGACCCAGUGUAAAGAGAUGGUGGUCUUAACCAAUCACAGUUAAGAUAGUUUAGUUUUGGAAGGUAUAAAAAAUAUGUAACAACAUGAAUGCACUUUUAGGGUCAGACAAGAGACUUGGAAAGAGCCUGCAAAAUGGAGGAGCCCUGAGGCCUAAGUCUCAUGAGUGUCAAUGCUUACCUGUAUCUAGACACUGGCAUCCCCCUUUUGAUAAGGCCAAGAUUGAUUGUUUUCCUUUUCUACCUACCCUAUAUCUAAUCCAUGUACAAACACUGUUGACACACAAAAGAACCCUAAAUUCAACAAUCUGUGAAGAAUUUUUGCACUAACAUGUUAGUUCAAAAACUCAACAUUGCUUGCUAAGACUAUUGCAAUAAACUCCUCUAUGAUCCCCU